CGCACGACGGACGCUCGGAGGGGAUUCUCUCGCUCACGGGGACGCUCUCUCUCGCGAAGGGGAAAAGAACCGACGGUCUUCAUCUCUUGCUCGGCUGAGAGCUCAUAGGGAAAAAAAGAAAAGGGGGAUCGAGGAGAGGAGAAUCGAUCGAUCGCCAUCGCCUUCCCCUGCCUUGCGUGCGACUCGAGUCGAUCGGAACCAUCGUCGGCGGCGACGAUGACGACGACGACCACGACAGCGGUGCUGAUAGAAGGCUCGGAGAGAUCUGGCUCUUGAUCGGGUUGGGUUCCAAUCGGUGGCUCAACAUCUAGGGUUUUCGGGGGAUUUCGAUCGAUUGGAAGCGGCGGCGACGACGACUAGUCGUGACAGCCGCUCUCGAUUUGUAUCUCUCUCUAUUCUAGUUCGGCGGAUUGUUCUCGCCCGCUCGAUCGAAAAUAGAGUAACCGUCGGCGAAGGAGCUCGAGGUGAGGGAUUUAGAUGCGAAGCUGAUCAGCGGCGGUGACAGCGACGAUGACGACGCCAGCGAUUCUGGUUCCACCGGAUCUGAGUCUCUCUCGGCGGACCUCCCUCUCUUGAUUCUCUACUCUCCGGAUUUGACUCGCCGGAUCUGAUCGAUAAUAUCAGCGACAUCGACGGAGACUGCGUUGGUGGGAGGAGGUUCAGAUCCGAAGCGGACUGGCGGUGACGACAGUGACUCUUGGCCGAUUUCUUCUCUCUGGAUCGAGUUUGCUCGAUCGGUGGAGUUCUCUUUCUAUCACUCUCGAUCCGUUAGGGUUUCGUUGCGGUUUCAAUCCGUUCGGGUUGUGGAUUUCGAACUCUCUCCCUCAGUUCUAUUUUGCUGUUCUUUCCCGAGCUCCGGUCGGAGGUAAAGGUCUUCCUCCAUUGGCGAGCGAUUGAAGAUCAAGUGCCAGGCGGUUGAAAGUCGUGAGGACUUGAUUUUGUCUCGGAGAUCAUACGCUUGCUUG
rnacentral:lncRNA from 1 species